CUGGUAUGCACUGGCUUCGCUGAUUCCUCCUUUCUGAAGAACUGUAAUGUCAUUAAUUUGGUGUUGCAGGGAAACAGGACUGUUACUUUGAAAAAAUUAGAGUGUUUAAAGCAGGCUAACGCUUGAAUACAUUAGCAUGGAAUAAUGAAAUAGGACGUUCGAUCCUAUUUUGUUGGUUUCUAGGAUUGACGUAAUGAUUAAUAGGGAUAGUUGGGGGCAUUAGUAUUCAAUUGUCAGAGGUGAAAUUCUUGGAUUUAUUGAAGACUAACUACUGCGAAAGCAUUUGCCAAGGAUGUUUUCAUUAAUCAAGAACGAAAGUUAGGGGAUCGAAGACGAUCAGAUACCGUCGUAGUCUUAACCAUAAACUAUGCCGACUAGGGAUCGGAUGAUGUUAAUUUUUUAAUGACUCAUUCGGCGCCUUACG
rnacentral:rRNA from 1 species